UCAAAUGACUCACAGAAAGAACCACUUUCCGUUCUUGUUUUUUUUUUUUUUUAAAUACUAGACAGCAAAAAUUCAGGAUGCAAUCGGUUUAACAACACCCACAGACUGUUGUUAUGUUGACCCCUAAAGCAAACAGCUAAAAAUCCCUAGAAGCCAGCUCUGAAUUUUACAAUGCUACGUCGUAAGACUGCAUCUGGAUGACUGCUGACACAUUUAAUUGCCACAUAAGUGGCUAAAACCUGGUUUAGGUUCAGUCUAAUAUAGCAACCCUGCCUUCAUGUAUUUGUCAAUACUGUUCUGGACAAGUGACCCUGAUUAUUAAUCCACAUAAAACAAGAUUCUUGUAUUUUCAUAACUACAACAGACAAAGGUAUUUUAGCUCCUGCUAACACCUCACUACAGAAACCUGAUGCCAAGGCCGUACCACCGUAAUGAGAAAUUCUCAUUAAGGUUCCCACUGGGAGGACCAGUUUCCUCUGCUGCCAAUGAUAUUGGAUAGCUUAGCAGAUUCUUAUUCAAUCCUUUUUUUGUACACAAAGCAGAAAUGAAAACCGCACACACACUCAGGGAAGCUUAAAUAUUCCUCGAGUGACAGGCUGGAAAGCUAAUGUAGCUAUAAAUUAAAAAGGGCUGCAGAAGGGAAUGCCACUUUUCCAGACUAGCUACAUACCAUACCGUAACGAAACCUGUGUCCUGCAACAUGUGUGUCGUAUUCCCAUUGUGGAUACUUUUUUCUUUUUUAGUUGGCUUAUACAUACUUUUGUUUAAGUAGUGAGAAUUAAAAUGUGUGGCGUUAGGAAAGAUAAAUGAAGUAUGCUCUCAUUUCUACAGUUUGCAGGACAGGCGUUAUACCUGGCACACCUUCAGAUCUGCCGUGAAUGUCAAAGAAUCUCUCAAGUGUCAUGUCGGCAAGGAGCCCUGAGCUUGGAUGUGCAACGAGCCGUGAACUUGCACUGACACCGCCACAAACACUCACCAGAAAAAGGUGUUGGUCCCGUCGUCGUAGACUUCGCACUCUGUGUUUCUCCGGUGCAGACUCUCCCUGGAGGUCUGCUUCAUCACCUUGGCUUUAAUGGUUGUGCUCUGAUCCGGACACGCUGGAUCCACGGA